AAGUCGUAACAAGGUUUCCGUAGGUGAACCUGCGGAAGGAUCAUUAUUGAAAUAAACCUGAUGGGUUGUUGCUGGUUCUCUAGGGAGCAUGUGCACGCCUUGUCAUCUUUAUAUCUCCACCUGUGCACUUUUGUAGACUUUCCAAGUCUAUGUUGCUUCAUUUACCCCAAUGUAUGUUAAUAGAAUGUUGUCUUUUAUAAUAUAUACAACUUUCAGCAACGGAUCUCUUGGCUCUCGCAUCGAUGAAGAACGCAGCGAAAUGCGAUAAGUAAUGUGAAUUGCAGAAUUCAGUGAAUCAUCGAAUCUUUGAACGCACCUUGCGCUCCUUGGUAUUCCGAGGAGCAUGCCUGUUUGAGUGUCAUUAAUAUAUAUAUCAAACUUCUCUUGUUGAGUGGUUUGGAUGUGGGGGUUUGCUGGACUCUUAAAAGGGUUCAGCUCCUCUGAAAUGCAUUAGCAGAACAACCUUGUUCAUUGGUGUGAUAACUAUCUACGCUAUUGAAUGUAAGGGGCAGUUCAGCUUUCUAACAGUCUUUGGACAACUUAUCAUUAAUGUGACCUCAAAUCAGGUAGGACUACCCGCUGAACUUAAGC
rnacentral:rRNA from 1 species